UGCCAGCAGCCGCGGUAAAACGUAGGGGGCGAGCGUUAUCCGGAAUUACUGGGCGUAAAGGGCGUCUAGGCGGCAAUGCAAGUCAUGCGUGAAAGCUCCUGGCUCAACUGGGAGAGUGCGUGUGAAACUGCAUGGCUAGAGUCUUGGAGGGGUGCGUGGAAUUCCCGGUGGAGUGGUGGAAUGCGUUGAGAUCGGGAGGAACACCAGAAGCGAAGGCGGCGCACUGGCCAAGAACUGACGCUGAAGCGCGACAGCGUGGGGAGCAAACGGGAUUAGAUA
rnacentral:rRNA from 1 species